AGGAAGUCGUUUGUGAAUUGGACUAAGAAGCUGCAUAAAAGACUGGACACAUGCAGGCAAAAGGAAACUAACAUCAAGUCACAAGGGGGAGAGACUCUUGCAAGCAAUAAUAUGUUACGCGAUGAAGAUUUGUUAGACGGCCAAGGGAAGGUUUUGCCUGAGCUAGGCAAGUUGACUGGCAAAGACGAGAAUUCGAGCCCCAGCGAGAGAAGGGGAAGGACCAGGCGUCACGGGCUAGAGAUGAAGCGAUCUGACUGCAGAAAGGGCCUUCGGACCGACUUUUCCAGCGCUACAGCCAUCAGCCACCCUGUACCGUUCCAUCGCCUUGGCAGGUUUUAGCCACCACGCCCGCCUGCGACAGAGUUUUGCCUUGCUGGCUGGAGAGCAAAGCGCCUCUGGUUGUUUUUGUUCAGUUAAUUGGCAAUCCAACGUACACAUACACACACAAAGGCAUAGUUUGCAAAAAAAAAAAAAAAAAAAAAAAAAA